rnacentral:rRNA from 1 species
AACGAACGCUGGCGGCAGGCCUAACACAUGCAAGUCGAACGCCCUGGCAACAGGGAGUGGCAGACGGGUGAGUAACGCGUGGGAACGUGCCCUUCGGUUCGGAAUAACUCAGGGAAACUUGAGCUAAUACCGGAUACGUGCGAGAGCAGAAAGAUUUAUCGCCGAAGGAUCGGCCCGCGUCCGAUUAGCUAGUUGGUGAGGUAACGGCUCACCAAGGCGACGAUCGGUAGCUGGUCUGAGAGGAUGAUCAGCCACACUGGGACUGAGACACGGCCCAGACUCCUACGGGAGGCAGCAGUGGGGAAUAUUGGACAAUGGGCGCAAGCCUGAUCCAGCCAUGCCGCGUGAAGGAUGAAGCCUCUCGGGGUGUAAACUUCUUUUGCCAUGGCAUGAAGCUGUGGCGAAUAAGCAUCUACAAACUACGUGCCAGCAGCCGCGGUAA